UACGUAGGGGGCAAGCGUUGUCCGGAAUUAUUGGGCGUAAAGCGCGUGUAGGCGGCUCGGUAAGUCUGCUGUGAAAGUCCAGGGCUCAACCCUGGAACGCCGGUGGAUACUGUCGAGCUCGAGUCCGGAAGAGGCGAGUGGAAUUCCUGGUGUAGCGGUGAAAUGCGCAGAUAUCAGGAGGAACACCAAUGGCGAAGGCAGCUCGCUGGGACGGUACUGACGCUGAGACGCGAAAGCGUGGGGAGCGAACAGG
rnacentral:rRNA from 1 species